GAUGUAGAUGCAGGGAUGCGCGUGUCACAGGCGUAGUGACGUAUGACGUAACUGUGCGGACGCCCGUAUCACAGACGCAGUGACGUAUGACAUAACUGUAGGGACACUCGUAUCACAGAUACAGUGACGCCUGAGGUAGCUGUGCGGAUGCCCGUAUCACAGGCGCAGUGACAUAUGAGGUAGCUGUGAGGAUGCCCGUAUCACAGACGUAGUGAGAUUGCUGUGGGGAUGCCCGUAUCCCAGAUGUAGUGACGUAUGACACAGAUGUAGGGAAGCCCGUGUCACAGACAUAGUGACGUAUGACGUAGCUGUGGGGAUGCCCUAACACAGACGUAGUGCCUGUAAUGUAGCUGUGGUGACCCCGUAACACAGACGUAGUGAUAUAUGACGUAGGGACAUAUGACGUAGGUGUGGCGACACCUGCAACAGACGUAGCAAGGUAGUGACGUAGACAUCAGGACACCUGUGCCACCACAUGCGAGGAAUUCUAAGUGAACCAAGAUGAAGAAGGAAAGUCACACCUAACUGGCACAGGGCGUCGAUUGAACCAUAUCCACCUUCACCCAUGACCUUGAGGAUGAAAGGAGGCAUGUGGCUCACUACAUCUGCAGCAGAGCAACAAAUUGCAGUACCUCGAAAAGUACAGCCUCGAGUACGACAGCUGGCACACAGGCAUCGAGGGAACAGGCAAGAAGAGUUCCUGACUGGCGGAGGGAGAGGAGGUGGGAGAUGGCAAAGCUGAAGGAUCGUCAGCAAUAGGAGAUGGAGGGUAAGUUGCCAUUUCUCUCAUGUCGGAUGUGGAUGGCACAGGUUCUGAUUCUGUGCUGGAUUCAGUUCUAUCUGCUCUUUUGAAAAAAAUGAUCCAGUGAUGUCUGGGUAGAUCUUGGGCUUGAAAUAAAGGUACUCUGCUAUAUCCAGUACUGUACAGUAAAGCUCACAGAAGCGCAACCACUUGUAGCGGAUGCACAUGGGUGACAACAGGUGCCAGACACGGGAACUAACAACGCGACUGGACAUGUGAACACAUGUUUGCCAUCUUUGAAAGUUUACUACUUGAAGGUUUGUAUAUAGGGGACCUACUGUAUGGAAAAUUCACUGAUACUCAAGCUACUUACGGAGAAGGCAAUGACAACCCACUCCAGUACUCUUGCCUGAAAAAUCCCAUGGACGGAGGAGCCUG